AACCAAGUCUCUAAGCAAUGGAUGUCUUGGCUCCUCACACGAUGAAGAACGUGGCAUAAUGUGUUAAGUAACCGGAGUUGCAAACAUCAUGACAGGUUAAUCUUUGAAUGCAAAUUGCGCUAAACUCGAUCUCGGUCGAGAAGCAUGGGUGUGACAGUACUACAUCUUUUAUAAUAAUUCUUAUUCUAAGCGAAUAAGUAAAUAAUAUAUAAGACAAACAACACGUAGUCUGCCAUACGCAGGAAGACCCGCUGAACUGAAGCAUCUCAUUAAGCGGAGGAAAAGAAACUAACUAGGAUUCCCUUAGUAAAGGCGAUCGAAA
rnacentral:ncRNA from 1 species